rnacentral:rRNA from 1 species
CGUAGGGUGCGAGCGUUGUCCGGAAUUAUUGGGCGUAAAGAGCUCGUAGGCGGUGUGUCGCGUCGGUCGUGAAAACUUGGGGCUUAACCCUGAGCGUGCGGUCGAUACGGGCAUCACUUGAGUUCGGCAGGGGAGACUGGAAUUCCUGGUGUAGCGGUGAAAUGCGCAGAUAUCAGGAGGAACACCGGUGGCGAAGGCGGGUCUCUGGGCCGAUACUGACGCUGAGGAGCGAAAGCGUGGGGAGCGAACAGGAUUAGAUACCCUGGUAGUCCACGCCGUAAACGGUGGGCACUAGGUGUGGGGGCCAUUCCACGGUCUCUGUGCCGCAGCUAACGCAUUAAGUGCCCCGCCUGGGGAGUACGGCCGCAAGGCUA